rnacentral:misc_RNA from 1 species
UCGGCGGUGAACCGCGCGCCCCCCCGGGCGCCGGUUCCUCCACGCCGCCGGAGGCCCCCCAAACUGUGUCUCAGCUGUGGCAUUAUCUGAGUAGCGAAAGCAAAACAAAUGAAUCAAAACUUUCAACAACGGAUCUCUUGGUUCUGGCAUCGAUGAAGAACGCAGCGAAAUGCGAUAAGUAAUGUGAAUUGCAGAAUUCAGUGAACCAUCGAAUCUUUGAACGCACAUUGCGCCCGCCAGUACUCUGGCGGGCAUGCCUGUCCGAGCGUCAUUUCAACCCUCGAGCCCCAGCGGCCCGGUGUUGGGGAUCGGCCCCGCCCCCGUGGCGGCCGGCCGUCCCCUAAAUAGAGUGGCGGUCACGCCGUAGCAUCCCCUGUUUUUUAGCAAUAUCUCGCAGCCGGAGCGCGGCGCGGCC